rnacentral:lncRNA from 1 species
CUGUCUCUCUUGAAUCACAGUAGGAAAACACAAGCGUGAAGCCUCCAUUUGGGAAGCCUGCAGAAGCCCCAAUCCAAUCACAGCACUGCCAGAGGAUCUUAGAAGUUGAAUAUCAAUUUAAUAACACAUCCUGUUUGAGAUUGGGUUCUAACUAUAUUGCCCAAGCUAGAUUCAAACUCUUGGGCUCAAGUGAUCCUCCUGCCUAAGACUCCUUAGUAGCUUGGAACUUCAGAACCAUCUGUCAAUGGCUACUUCAUACUUUAGAUGCUCCAAGAGGAAAAAGUCAUUUCAGAAUUGUAUCCAUAACCCAGUUUCAUUGAAGAUGGAGUCUUCCUUCAGAUUUUCUACAUAGACAAUUAUACCUCUGUGAACAAAGACAGUUUAUUUCUUCCUUCCCACACCCUGCCACACUUCCUCCUGCUCCAGCAAUGUAAAACGUGCCUGCUUCCCCUUCACCUUCCACGUGACUGCAAGUUACCUGAUGCCUCUUUCGCCAGCUUUCUGUACAGCCUGCAGAACCAUGAGGAAUCACACCCCUUUUCUUUACAAAUUACCCAGUCUCAGACAUUUCUUUAUAGCAAUGCAAGAAUGGACUAAUACAGUAUCUGUGUAAAAUGGAGAUGUUUCCUAAGAAAGAAUAAACUCCUUUUGGUAUAA